UCCCCACUCUCUUUUGCUGCACACCGGUGAGGAUGCAACUCUGGGAUGGCUGCUGUUAGUUGUAUUGCUAGCAAUCCCUUCAUAAACAAAAAAGUAGAGAAAAAAAGCCAAAAGAUUAUAUCAAAAUCUGUACUGUAGCGCAAAAUUGGUAAGUUUGGUUUGGUCAAUGUCCUGUUAUGGUUCAGCUUUAGAUCUAUACUUUUUUAUGAUUAAUUUCCUUGUUGGGGGUUUUCAAAUGAAGGGCAGGAGGUGAUCUAUGUUAAAUGUUAAUUACCAAGAAAGAGGCAGCUGUAGCAAAUCCCAAGGUUUUGUAGCGGCCAAAGUAAGUAUCGCAGAGGAAAGCUCCGACCAGGGUUCCAAAAUUUGUAGUGCCAUUGAAGACAUUAAUCAU
rnacentral:lncRNA from 1 species